GAUGAACGCUGGCGGCGUGCUUAACACAUGCAAGUCGAACGGGAAACCUUUUAUUGAAGCUUCGGCAGAUUUCGCUGGUUUCUAGUGGCGGACGGGUGAGCAACGCGUGGGUAACCUGCCUUAUACAGGGGGAUAACAACCAGACAUGGUUGCUAAUACCGCAUAAGCGCACAGGACCGCAUGGUCCGGUGUGAAAAACUCCGGUGGUAUAAGAUGGACCCGCGUUGGAUUAGCUAGUUGGCAGGGUAACGGCCUACCAAGGCGACGAUCCAUAGCCGGCCUGAGAGGGUGAACGGCCACAUUGGGACUGAGACACGGCCCAGACUCCUACGGGAGGCAGCAGUGGGGAAUAUUGCACAAUGGGGGAAACCCUGAUGCAGCGACGCCGCGUGAAGGAAGAAGUAUCUCGGUAUGUAAACUUCUAUCAGCAGGGAAGAUAGUGACGGUACCUGACUAAGAAGCCCCGGCUAACUACGUG
rnacentral:rRNA from 1 species